rnacentral:lncRNA from 1 species
CCUGCAUUAAUAUAGUCCCUCAUCCAUUUCUUUUUCCUUGUACAUUUCAGCAUUAGUUUUCCCAUUAUUUGGUAAAAACAACGCUAAUGUUUUAUACAAAGCAAUGCAAAAACCAAAUAUCCAAUCAAAGCUGAUCACGUCUCACCAUAUUUUGCAUAGUCCAACAGCUAAAGCCGUGCAAUAUGACAACACAUGGAAAAGGGAAACCAGCAAAGUAAACAAAACCACCAGUGACUUGAGAGCAGACAUACUCCUCUAAAAGGAAAUACAAUUUUCUAAGCUUUAUAAACGAUGUGUUCUCAUAACCGAAUAUACCCUCAAAAUUCGACUAUGUUAAGCCUACAACAGAAUCAUUGCCCUCCAUGUCGUGCCAGUUUAACACCUGACCGCAUGUGGCAUCUGCAUUCUGCAUUCUCACAUAAAUCUUAUAAGACAAUACGAGGAUGAAAAAGCUGAGCCAUGUCAGCUGUAUAUGCCAAAAAACACUUACUCAACUAUUACCAAUCUUUUUAGCAUCUUUAAGCUGCUACUGCUUCCUUCUUAACGCCCUUCUUCUCUGUUUUAAGAGGGGGUGCCACUUCAGGUUUCUCAAUUCCUUGUAUAUCCGUAAUCCUCAAUUUUGUUAAUUCAUAAAAAUGAAUAGGAAACGAGGAUGAGAAGUAACAGCGUGUAUAAAACAUAGCUGUGUUUCAGGCAGUAUGUUCAUUGUGGAUGAAUCAAUGACUAACCUGUCGAUGUCCUCGUGUUCGUCGAUAAUUCUUUCGUCUCUUCUUCUUGAAUAUAAGUACUUUAGCAUCUAAUGCCUGGACCAAGAGAAGGGCAGAUUAAAUUUCCUAAUAUAUCUGGAGGAAUGAAAUAAGAUGUGUGCGUGCAUAUAUGAAGCAAGUUAUGCAAACAUCCUAGCUCAAUGCCUGAAGAAGUGAACCUAGUUCCACAUCUAUGGCAUUCCUCAAAUAAGCUCAGCAAGAUCCGAACAGGAAAAGAGGAUGAGAAGUAACGGCUGGAGAGGCCAGAAAUAUAAAUUCCAUUAAUAUGGGAAAUAAGCUCAACCAAUUCGAUGGGUUAAAAAAACAUAGCUGUGUUUCAGGCAAUAUGUUCACAGUUGAUGAACCAAAGACCUGUCGAUGCCCUCGUGUUCGCCGAUAAUUCUUCUCUCUUCUUCUUGAAUAUAAGUACUUUAGCAUCUAAUGCCUGGACCAAGAGAAGGACAGAUAAAAUUUCCUAAUCUAUCUGGAAUGAAAUAAGAUGUGUAUGUGCGCGCGUGCAGAUGAAGCAAGUUAUGCAAACAUUCAAGCAAAGCCUGAAGAA